CCUUCUCCUGCAGCUUCUGAACCUUCGGGACGUCAGUCAACCACGGCCGGUCUGAGAACAGCAGGUUUGGCACAUUAGAGCCUCGUGGUCAACAACAGGGAUUCAGCACAGAUGCACUUCAGUCACUUCCUGUUUGAAGCACAGAAAUGAGACGAUCCUGAGCUCCCAAUCAGACGCAAAAAACUACUUUCGCUGCUCAAAGUCCAAACCCAGGAGGACCGGAGCCGCCCAGUCCAAACCAGGAUAAAGAACAUUACACAACCCUAAUGCUCCAGAGCUAUCAGUCACCUUGAAUUCAAAUCUCUCCGCUUGUUCAGCUGUCGCUAUCUCUGGGAAAACGUAUCGGAAUGACACUCUGAUGGGGCAGCCCAGCCUGAGCUGAUGUCAAAGAUGAGAUUUUAGGAAAUAAUCUCCUUCCUUGGUGCUAUCACACGUCUUGUUGUGUGAGACGUUAAAUCUUCAAGUGUUUCAGAAACAGAGGGCACGGUGACACGGUGAACUUCAGGGGCUCCUUCCCAGCAGACAGGAGGUGUGAGGCCGAGAGCCGAGCGCUCCUGCUGCCCCGUACAACUCGGAUUAGGUGUGUUUGGAUUUUGCCUCCUGUCUGACUGAGUUCUCUGCUCUGCAGUAACUUUAGCCGCGAAGGGGAAGCGGAUCUCAGCUGAACCCCGCAGGGCGCCUUGGUUAAGUGUGUCCUCGCUGUGCGCAUAUCCUGCCUGCAACAUCCCUGCAGAAGGUUCUGCUGCUGCCAAAGGCUGAACAAAUGCGAACAUGGAUGAGGGAAUAUCUGGGAUUACAUGAUCCUAAUCUCUGAUUCAGAAACUGAGUAUAAAGAAGUGAUGGAGCCUCAAAAACAUCAGAACUUCUGCACAGAACUGUUUGUUUCAUCGCGGACGACAGGAGUCCUUCACGCACGCGCACACACGAUGUAAUCGUCAUUGACAGAAGUAGGUCAAUGGACCGCCCCGCGCGCGGACUGACCGCCGUCCGUCCUGUUGUUGGAGCUGAAAACGAAAACACACUUCAGCAGAACAACCCUUUCAAAAUAAAAGUCCGGCUGAAGGAGACUUUUAAUUUUGUUUAGGAAUAAAUUAAAACAAAGAAGAGAGGAUGGCGGGAAACUGAAGCUCCUUGUUUGUGGUAAACAAGUGUUCCCAGCAGGUUUUAGUGCGCGUGGACCGUCCAUGAAUCACUCCGCUCACCCCCACCCCCACCCCUCUUACAUAACAGGAGUCAGCGGCUCAACUUGCGAAAAUUAAGAGGCUUAAGCGGCAAGAGGCGCAUUUCUUCUGCGCAACACAAACAAAACAAACAAACAAACAAACUCACCGGCGCGUUGACGCGUUUCCCCGCAGAAUUCUUUGCGCUUUUACGCAUCCACUGACGCACUUUGAACUGUCAGCGCCGCGCCCCCCACCACCCAACACUUUGCCAACAUGAAAAGUGUUCAGAGGAACAACUCACCUCUCAU